rnacentral:tRNA from 2 species
GCGGGGGUUCCCGAGCCAGGUCAAAGGGGCGGGCCUGAGGCGCCCGUGGCGUAGGCCUGCGUGGGUUCAAAUCCCACCCCCCGCACCA